rnacentral:rRNA from 1 species
UGGGGAAUCUUGCGCAAUGGGCGAAAGCCUGACGCAGCAACGCCGCGUGUGUGAUGAAGGUCUUCGGAUCGUAAAGCACUGUCGCGAGGGACGAAUAAGGGGCGGGCUAACAUCCCGUUCCGAUGACGGUACCUCGAGAGGAAGCACCGGCUAACUCUGUGCCAGCAGCCGCGGUAAUACAGAGGGUGCAAGCGUUGUUCGGAAUUAUUGGGCGUAAAGCGCGUGUAGGCGGCUUUGUAAGUUGGGUGUGAAAGCCCUCGGCUUAACCGAGGAAGUGCGCCCAAAACUGCAUGGCUUGAGUACCGGAGAGGGUGGCGGAAUUCCCGGUGUAGAGGUGAAAUUCGUAGAUAUCGGGAGGAACACCAGCGGCGAAGGCGGCCACCUGGACGGAUACUGACGC